GGGGACCAUCCUCCAAGGCUAAAUACUCCUGACUGACCGAUAGUGAACCAGUACCGUGAGGGAAAGGCGAAAAGAACCCCGGCGAGGGGAGUGAAAAAGAACCUGAAACCGUGUACGUACAAGCAGUGGGAGCACGCUUAGGCGUGUGACUGCGUACCUUUUGUAUAAUGGGUCAGCGACUUAUAUUCUGUAGCAAGGUUAACCGAAUAGGGGAGCCGAAGGGAAACCGAGUCUUAACUGGGCGUUAAGUUGCAGGGUAUAGACCCGAAACCCGGUGAUCUAGCCAUGGGCAGGUUGAAGGUUGGGUAACACUAACUGGAGGACCGAACCGACUAAUGUUGAAAAAUUAGCGGAUGACUUGUGGCUGGGGGUGAAAGGCCAAUCAAACCGGGAGAUAGCUGGUUCUCCCCGAAAGCUAUUUAGGUAGCGCCUCGUGAAUUCAUCUCCGGGGGUAGAGCACUGUUUCGGCAAGGGGGUCAUCCCGACUUACCAACCCGAUGCAAACUGCGAAUACCGGAGAAUGUUAUCACGGGAGACACACGGCGGGUGCUAACGUCCGUCGUGAAGAGGGAAACAACCCAGACCGCCAGCUAAGGUCCCAAAGUCAUGGUUAAGUGGGAAACGAUGUGGGAAGGCCCAGACAGCCAGGAUGUUGGCUUAGAAGCAGCCAUCAUUUAAAGAAAGCGUAAUAGCUCACUGGUCGAGUCGGCCUGCGCGGAAGAUGUAACGGGGCUAAACCAUGCACCGAAGCUGCGGCAGCGACGCUGAUGCGUUGUUGGGUAGGGGAGCGUUCUGUAAGCCUGCGAAGGUGUGCUGUGAGGCAUGCUGGAGGUAUCAGAAGUGCGAAUGCUGACAUAAGUAACGAUAAAGCGGGUGAAAAGCCCGCUCGCCGGAAGACCAAGGGUUCCUGUCCAACGUUAAUCGGGGCAGGGUGAGUCGACCCCUAAGGCGAGGCCGAAAGGCGUAGUCGAUGGGAAACAGGUUAAUAUUCCUGUACUUGGUGUUACUGCGAAGGGGGGACGGAGAAGGCUAUGUUGGCCGGGCGACGGUUGUCCCGGUUUAAGCGUGUAGGCUGGUUUUCCAGGCAAAUCCGGAAAAUCAAGGCUGAGGCGUGAUGACGAGGCACUACGGUGCUGAAGCAACAAAUGCCCUGCUUCCAGGAAAAGCCUCUAAGCAUCAGGUAACAUCAAAUCGUACCCCAAACCGACACAGGUGGUCAGGUAGAGAAUACCAAGGCGCUUGAGAGAACUCGGGUGAAGGAACUAGGCAAAAUGGUGCCGUAACUUCGGGAGAA
rnacentral:rRNA from 1 species